UAUGACAUUCUUGUGAUUUUUAUUUUCUGCCAAUAUUAUGCCCAAUUCCUAGCAUUUGCAACCAGUAUGUUGCAACCCAAUUUAUCUCUGAAAAUAUUUUCUCACAAAAGUAAUCUAGGUCAUUUACAACCCAAUAAUCCUAGUGUUCUUCCUGUUCAACGCUGAUAUUUAAAUGCAGAUUCCUCCAUUAGUUCUGGCUUCUCACCUACACAAUUGACAUGUCUUUAUUCUAUAAAAAAGGACCAUAUCCUCCCCUACCCAGCUAUAUAGAUAUUUCACCCCAUAUCUACAGUUCCUAAUUCCUGUCCACAAAGCCAAUGCAUUGUGAGGCCCUAAUUUCCUUUCAGGCCCACUAUGAGAAAGUAAAAUAUUUUAUUUCAAACCAAUAGUUCCAGGUCCUACCUCUUCCUUCUUUGGCAAUGAGAUAAAGCUGUAAACAUUCUAUGUUUCCUUUUACUAAUAGUAUUCCUGUAGAGGAAAUGCAGAACUAACUGUAUGGUCAAUUUCUUCUCCAGUAGACUGUCAUAUCACUUCAAAACCAAUCUUUCUAAAAUUUAGACUUAUCUUUGCCAUAAGCGUUUUUUUGUGUGUGUGUUUUUUUAAGGUUCAGGGGUACAUGUGCAGGUUAUAUAGGUAAACUGGGUGUCACAGG
rnacentral:lncRNA from 1 species